rnacentral:lncRNA from 1 species
GCAUAGGCCAAGUCACACAUGACAGAGAAUGACAGAUCUGAUCCCUGUCUACAGCCAGGGAAGUCUGACACCCUCGCCUGGCCCCCUUCUUGAUAGUAACACUGUGGGGGGCAGAGAGGGGUGACUUGGACUAGGAUACGUAAAGUGAAUCCGGAAAAGAGACAACCUGGAUGAUCAAGCAGGAACUGAUUUAAAGGAAUUGAUGUCUGCUGCUAAGAGUAUGAAGCCCUGAGGGCUGAGACCACAUCUGCCUGGUUUUCUGUGGCAGCUGCAGCAUCAACACUGGCUCUUCGAAGAGUAGCAGCUGAUGAACAUUACUCCGGCAAACAAUUUUCUCUGCUAGGCUGGAGGAUCUUGGCUCACUGAAACCUCUGCCUCCCGGGUUCAAGAGAUUCUCAUACCUCGGCAUCUCCAGCAGCUGGGAUUACAGAUACUGUGUUUUUUACUCGAAGAACUGGCAGCCCUGCAUCAAGCAAUGGAUUCCAUUUUUCCAACAGCAUGUUCUCAAUUCAUUAGCAGUUUUUGGCAAUAAAAUAUUUUUACUCAAGCUCCCUGCAGCUCGUGGACCAGGGGUUAUUUCCCACUUCAAGGAGAGGAGGAAGUUGAUUGGUCCCGCCUGGGUCAAGUGUUCAUUCCUGGCCCAAUCAGCUGUGGCUGCAUGACGGGAUCAAAGGCACUUUUCAUGACCAUGAGUGGCAUGAAAUUAAGGAAUUUACCUAUUCCUUGAUUCAUCUGAGCAAUGUGUUAUUGUACUCAAUGUGCAGGUUUUGCACAUCUUUUGUUAUAUUUAGCCCUAAGUAUUUCAUAUUUUGUUGCUGGUAUGGUAAAUGGUAUUUUCAAAAAUUGUCUAUUUCAUGAUUAUUCAUUUUUUGUUGAUAGUAAAUAUAAUUGGUUUCUAUAUACUGACCAUGUUUCCUGCAGUAUUAUUUAACCUAAUUAUUAGUUCUAGUAAUGUUUUUAUAGAUUUCAUCACAUUUUCUGUAUAGACCAUUAUGCCAUCUGUGAAUAAAAAUAGUUUUAUGUCUUUCUAAACUAUAUAACUAUUUAAAAUUCAUGCAUUUAUUUAAAUAUAUAUACAUUUACUUUUUUACUUACAAAUUUAGGCAAUAUUGCACUGGCCAGAACAGUCAGUAAAAUAUUGAAUAAAAGUAGUAAUAAUGGACAUCCUUUGUUGUUUCUGAUCUUAGGGUAAAAACAUUAAUUCUUUCACCAUUAAGUAUGAUGUUAUGUGUAUGUUUUCACAGAUAACCCCUUAUCAAGUUAAUAAACAUUUCUUCUAUUACAGUUCUUGAGCGUUUUCUAUUAAGGGAGAGGACUGAAUUUUCUCAAAUGUUUCCUCUACACCUACUGAGAUGGUAAUAUGUCUUUUUACCCUAAUAUGGUGAUUUUCAAAUGUUAAAUAAAUCUUGUAUUCUACAGAGAAAACAUACUUGGCCAUGAUGUUAUAUUCAUCUGUGUUGUUGCAUGAUACUUGAUUAAAUUUUGUUUAGCAUUUGUCUAUCUAUUUCAUGAAGUAUAUUAGUAUUCUUUCAUUUUCUCUAAUGUCUUUGAUUUUGUUAUCAGGGUAAUACUGGUCUUGUACAAUGAGUUUGGAAUUCUUUUCUUUGCAACUUUUUAGAAGAGUUUGCAUGUUUGUGUAUGACUUAUGUUAUUUCUGUAUUACUUACUUGGUAGAAUUAUCCAGUGAAAUAACCUGUACCUCGAAUGUUGUCUGUGAGAUGUUUACCUAUAAAACCUAUAGUAAUAUAAUCACAUGUGUGGUGAUUCCAAGAAUAUAAUUUUCUUCAGUAAGCUUUGUCAGCACAUGCCUUAGGAGUUACAUGUCAAUUUUAUCCAACUCAUUAUAUUUGUUGUUAGAGUUAUGCAUAAUUUCCUUUCAUUAUCUUUUGAAUAUUUCAAGAAUAUGUAAUUACUUAACCUCUUUUAUUCUUGCUACUGGCAAUUUGUAUCUCUUUUUCUGUCUUUCUUUUUUAUUGUUCCUAAUGAGUUUGGCUAGAAGUUUAUCCAUUUUAAAAAUCUGAAAGAACUAGCUUUUGGUUUCAUAAUGAUCACUUUUUAAAAAUUUUUCUUAAGGUAGAAAGCUAAAAUUAUUGCUUUGAAAUCUUUUUUCACAAAUUUUCUAAUUUGGGGUGUAUGUGCUAUAAUUUGUCCACCUGAGUCCUGCUUUAGUGACAUCACACACAUUUUAAUAAAUUACGGUUUCGGUUUCAUUUAGUUCAAAAUACUUUCUAAUUUCCCUUUCAGUUUUUUCUUUGAUCUGUGCAUUAUUUAGAAGAGUGCUACUUAUGUUCUGACAGUUUGGUGGAUUUUCAAGAUAUCUUUUUGCUAUUUGCUGGGAACAUUUGUUUGUAUGACAGGAAUCAUUUCAGAUUUAUUAAGAUUUGUUUAUGAUCCAGAAUACAGUUUAAUUUGGUACGUGUUUUUUAUGCACUUGAAAAGAUUAUAUAUUCUGAUAAUAUUGGGUGGAACAUUCUAAGGUCUACUUGAUUGAUAUUGUUGUUCAAGUCUUCUAUAUCUUUGCUGUUAUCUUUCCUCUUUGUUCUAGAAAUUAUUAACCAGAAUUGUGUAUUUGUUUAUUUCUCCUGUAGUUUUGUAAGUUUUGCUUCAUGUAUUUUGGAGAUCUUUAAUCAAGCACACGCAUGUGUAGUAAUAUUGUCCUUUUGAGGAAUUUUCCC